AGCGCUGACAGCGGGCGUGCUCCUGGGACAGCUCCUUCAUGUUUGGCCGACGGGACACCUGGAGCAGGACAGAGACACGGGUGAAGGUUGAUGAAAACACACCAACACACUCACAACUCAUGGCUCCGUCCUUCCUGAAGCCAGCCUGACCUUGGCUUCCCACUCCAUCCCAGCUACAGAGAUUCCCAGCAGGAGGAUGACAGUCAGAAUCCCAAC